rfam:Nomascus leucogenys chromosome 7b, whole genome shotgun sequence.
AUUCUUUUUUGGUUCAUAAGUGUGAUGAUUUUGUUUUCAUGUUAAAGUGUGAGAUCAGCCUCUCUCAAACCUUGUUACUACAUCAGCACCACAUUACCCAUCCAAUG